AGCGAACGCUGGCGGCGUGCCUAACACAUGCAAGUCGAACGUGAAAGGGAGCAAUCCCAAGUAAAGUGGCGUACGGGUGAGUAACACGUAGGUAAUCUACCCCAGAAUCUGGAAUAACCGGCCGAAAGGCUGGCUAAUACUGGAUAGAGCGACGGAAUCCGUAAUUGGGUUUUUCGGGAAAAGGAGCCUGUAAAAAGGCCUUCGUUCUGGGAUGAGCCUGCGUCCCAUCAGCUAGUUGGUGAGGUAAAAGCUUACCAAGGCAAUGACGGGUAGCUGGUCUGAGAGGACGAUCAGCCACACUGGAACUGAAACACGGUCCAGACUCCUACGGGAGGCAGCAGUGGGGAAUCUUGCGCAAUGGACGAAAGUCUGACGCAGCAACGCCGCGUGAGUGAAGAAGGCCGUCGGGUUGUAAAGCUCUGUCGAGUGGGACGAAAAUGCUUGGAGUUCACAGCUCCAGGAACUGACGGUACCACUAAAGGAAGCACCGGCUAACUCCGUG
rnacentral:rRNA from 1 species